rnacentral:sRNA from 1 species
CGGGUUUACUCCUGGAUGUUACCGUUUCGUCCAACCAGGGCUGGACGGCGUUUUGGUGUCUGAUUCGGUAAGAAUCGGGAGCACCAUCUGCGUAGGCUGAUGAUUUAAGACUUGCGCCGCCUACGGUCUUGGAUAGCCCCCGCCAGGCAGGGACCCCAAUCUUUCAGGCUGACGGAAUCGCUUCCGCCA